UGUGUUACGGGAUGAAUUGCUUGUUGCUGAUAACGCAACAGGUUUGACGCUACCGUAGUAGAAAGCCCCAGCUAACUACGUGCCAGCAGCUGCGGUAAGACGUAGGGGGCAAGCGUUGUCCGGAAUCACUGGGCGUAAAGCGCGCGCAGGCGGUAGAGUCAGUCAGACGUGAAAGGGUUCGGCUCAACCGAACCACUGCGUUUGAUACUGCUUUACUUGAGUCUGGAAGAGGAAAGUGGAAUGUACGGUGUAGCGGUGAAAUGCUCAGAUAUCGUAUAGAACACCCGUGGCGAAGGCGGCUUUCUGGUCUAAGACUGACGCUCAUGCGCGAAAGUUUGGGGAGCAACCGGGAUUAGAUACCCCGCUAGUCCUUACUGUAAACGAUGGGUACUAAGUGUAGGGGGUAUUGAUUCCCUCUGUGCUGUAGCUAACGCAUUAAGUACCCCGCCUGGGGAGUACGGCCGCAAGGUUAAAACUCAAGGUAAUUGACGGGGGGCCGCACAAGUGGUGGAGCAUGUCGCUUAAUUCGACGCAACGCGAAGAACCUUAUCCAGGGCUUGACAUCGCAGUGACCGCUAUAGAAAUAUAGUUUUCCUUCGGGACACUAU
rnacentral:rRNA from 1 species